GACGAACGCUGGCGGCGUGCCUAAUACAUGCAAGUAGAACGCUGAAACUUGGUGCUUGCACCGAGCGGAUGAGUUGCGAACGGGUGAGUAACGCGUAGGUAACCUGCCUGGUAGCGGGGGAUAACUAUUGGAAACGAUAGCUAAUACCGCAUAAGAGUAGAUGUUGCAUGACAUUUGCUUAAAAGGUGCAAUUGCACCACUACCAGAUGGACCUGCGUUGUAUUAGCUAGUUGGCGGGGUAACGGCUCACCAAGGCGACGAUACAUAGCCGACCUGAGAGGGUGAUCGGCCACACUGGGACUGAGACACGGCCCAGACUCCUACGGGAGGCAGCAGUAGGGGAUCUUCGGCAAUGGACGGAAGUCUGACCGAGCAACGCCGCGUGAGUGAAGAAGGUUUUCGGAUCGUAAAGCUCUGUUGUAAGAGAAGAACGAGUGUGAGAGUGGAAAGUUCACACUGUGACGGUAUCUUACCAGAAAGGGACGGCUAACUACGUG
rnacentral:rRNA from 1 species